rnacentral:rRNA from 1 species
AUUGAACGCUGGCGGCAGGCUUAACACAUGCAAGUCGAGCGGGGUGAUGGUGCUUGCACUAUCACUUAGCGGCGGACGGGUGAGUAAUGCUUAGGAAUCUGCCUAUUAGUGGGGGACAACAUCUCGAAAGGGAUGCUAAUACCGCAUACGUCCUACGGGAGAAAGCAGGGGAUCACUUGUGACCUUGCGCUAAUAGAUGAGCCUAAGUCGGAUUAGCUAGUUGGUGGGGUAAAGGCCUACCAAGGCGACGAUCUGUAGCGGGUCUGAGAGGAUGAGCCGCCACACGGGGACGGAGACACAGCCCAGACCACUACGGGGGGCAGCAGUGGGGGAUAUUGGACAAGGGGGGGAACCCUGAUCCAGCCAUGCCGCGUGUGUGAAGAAGGCCUUAUGGUUGUAAAGCACUUUAAGCGAGGAGGAGGCUCUUUUGGUUAAUACCCAAGAUGAGUGGACGUUACUCGCAGAAUAAGCACCGGCUAACUCUGUGCCAGCCGCCGCGGUAA